rnacentral:rRNA from 1 species
CAUGCAGUCGACGAUGAAGCCUUUCGGGGUGGAUUAGUGGCGAACGGGUGAGUAACACGUGGGCAAUCUGCCCUUCACUCUGGGACAAGCCCUGGAAACGGGGUCUAAUACCGGAUAACACCUUCCACCGCAUGGUGGGGGGUUGAAAGCUCCGGCGGUGAAGGAUGAGCCCGCGGCCUAUCAGCUUGUUGGUGGGGUGAUGGCCUACCAAGGCGACGACGGGUAGCCGGCCUGAGAGGGCGACCGGCCACACUGGGAUUGAGACACGGCCCAGACUCCUACGGGAGGCAGCAGUGGGGAAUAUUGCACAAUGGGCGAAAGCCUGAUGCAGCGACGCCGCGUGAGGGAUGACGGCCUUCGGGUUGUAAACCUCUUUCAGCAGGGAAGAAGCGAAAGUGACGGUACCUGCAGAAGAAGCGCCGGCUAACUACGUGCCAGCAGCCGCGGUAAUACGUAGGGCGCAAGCGUUGUCCGGAAUUAUUGGGCGUAAAGAGCUCGUAGGCGGCUUGUCGCGUCGGAUGUGAAAGCCCGGGGCUUAACCCCGGGUCUGCAUUCGAUACGGGCAGGCUAGAGUGUGGUAGGGGAGAUCGGAAUUCCUGGUGUAGCGGUGAAAUGCGCAGAUAUCAGGAGGAACACCGGUGGCGAAGGCGGAUCUCUGGGCCAUUACUGACGCUGAGGAGCGAAAGCGUGGGGAGCGAACAGGAUUAGAUACCCUGGUAGUCCACGCCGUAAACGUUGGGAACUAGGUGUUGGCGACAUUCCACGUCGUCGGUGCCGCAGCUAACGCAUUAAGUUCCCCGCCUGGGGAGUACGGCGCAAGGCUAAAACUCAAAGGAAUUUGACGGGGGCCCGCAC